AAAGAGCUCGUAGGCGGUUUGUCGCGUCUGCUGUGAAAACCCGAGGCUCAACCUCGGGCCUGCAGUGGGUACGGGCAAACUAGAGUGCGGUAGGGGAGAUUGGAAUUCCUGGUGUAGCGGUGGAAUGCGCAGAUAUCAGGAGGAACACCGAUGGCGAAGGCAGAUCUCUGGGCCGUAACUGACGCUGAGGAGCGAAAGCGUGGGGAGCGAACAGGAUUAGAUACCCUGGUAGUCCACGCCGUAAACGUUGGGCGCUAGAUGUGGGGACCAUUCCACGGUUUCCGUGUCGCAGCUAACGCAUUAAGCGCCCCGCCUGGGGAGUACGGCCGCAAGGCUAAAACUCAAAGGAAUUGACGGGGGCCCGCACAAGCGGCGGAGCAUGCGGAUUAAUUCGAUGCAACGCGAAGAACCUUACCAAGGCUUGACAUAUACCUGAAAAGGCUGGAAACAGUCUCCCCGCAAGGCAGGUAUACAGGUGGUGCAUGGUUGUCGUCAGCUCGUGUCGUGAGAUGUUGGGUUAAGUCCCGCAACGAGCGCAACCCUCGUUCUAUGUUGCCAGCACGUCAUGGUGGGAACUCAUAGGAGACUGCCGGGGUCAACUCGGAGGAAGGUGGGGAUGACGUCAAAUCAUCAUGCCCCUUAUGUCUUGGGCUUCACGCAUGCUACAAUGGCCGGUACAAAGGGCUGCAAUACCGUAAGGUGGAGCGAAUCCCAAAAAGCCGGUCUCAGUUCGGAUUGAGGUCUGCAACUCGACCUCAUGAAGUCGGAGUCGCUAGUAAUCGCAGAUCAGCAACGCU
rnacentral:rRNA from 1 species